rnacentral:rRNA from 1 species
UACGUAGGGGGCAAGCGUUGUCCGGAAUCAUUGGGCGUAAAGAGCGUGUAGGCGGUCCGGUAAGUCGGCUGUGAAAGUCCAGGGCUCAACCCUGGGAUGCCGGUCGAUACUGCCGGACUAGAGUUCGGAAGAGGCGAGUGGAAUUCCCGGUGUAGCGGUGAAAUGCGCAGAUAUCGGGAGGAACACCUAUGGCGAAGGCAGCUCGCUGGGCCACUACUGACGCUGAGAAGCGAAAGCAUGGGGGAGCGAACAGG